AUUGAACGCUGGCGGCAGGCCUAACACAUGCAAGUCGAGCGAGCGGCGGACGGGUGAGUAAUGUAUCGGGAAUGCCCGAUAGGGGGGGAUAACUACUGGAAACGGUAGCUAAUACCGCAUACUAUCGGAUAAUCCAUAUGGGAUUAGCUAGUAGGUGGGGGAACGGUUCACCUGGGCGACGCUCCCUAGCUGGUCUGAGAGGAUGACCAGCCACACUGGUACUGAGACACGGUCCAGACGCCUACGGAGGCAGCAGUGGGGAAUAUUGCACAAUGGGCGCAAGCCUGAUGCAGCCAUGCCGCGUGUAUGAAGAAGGCCCUAGGGUUGUAAAGUACUUUCAGUCGGGAGGCGUUACCGACAGAAGAAGCACCGGCUAACUCCGUGCCAGCAGCCGCGGUAAUUC
rnacentral:rRNA from 1 species